rnacentral:misc_RNA from 1 species
AAGUCGUAACAAGGUUUCCGUAGGUGAACCUCGCGGAAGGAUCAUUAACACGUAUCCAACGUUAAACAACCCUGUGAACCUUCAUUCGUAGCUCCUCUGGCCCAUGAAAGCAGCAAUCCCUGGUAAAUCAUUGUUGACCAGCUUUUGAGUCAGGGACCUCUGCCGCAACGCUAAUUGUAGUUGAGCGCGAUGUAAGUGACCUGGCAUCCUCAAGCGAUCAGUGUCUGAAAGUGUCGUUGAUAAUGUAAGGAUGGCGCAGUAAACGAUUGCUAGAGGCCCACACGGCGGCAACCGGAUCCUGGCUCACGCCCCUUAUCACCCCACAGUUUCCGACUGGGCAGCUGAUAACGGACGCCGUAAAAAACUGAACAACUGUUAACAAUGGAUAUCUUGGUUCUC